ACCGGUCGUAGCUGGAUUCUUCCCAGACCGUGUACACAUUCUCCAAAACAUGGACAUUGUUCAGUUCUCAAGUUCUGUGAUGUGGAAGAGGUUCCUUUGUUCUCCUGUGAAACUCACUCUCUCAAUACUCUGGCCGUGAGUCGAGAAACUCCUCUAGGACUUUAUGACCUGCCUAACAGAGCCUGGGUGUAGGGGGAAGAGAGAGAGGUGGUGAGAGGGGGAUGGUGCUCGCUGUACCCAAAGAGGGCCACGUCAUGACACUACCAUCCAGCUGAUGUUCAGUCACCUGUUAUAAACUUGUUGAGCAACAUUGUGGUGAUGAUGGAGAGUUUCCCCCUGCUACCUGGGGGUGUUCAUUCUGGAUCAGACAAUUACAGGACUCCAAAAGAAACACCUUUCUAUUGGGGGACACAGGGACAUGACUAUGAGAAUCAGAAAACUUCUUCAGCCAUUCUACC
rnacentral:lncRNA from 8 species